rnacentral:rRNA from 1 species
CCUACGGGAGGCUGCAGUGGGGAAUUUUGCGCAAUGGGGGCAACCCUGACGCAGCAACGCCGCGUGAGUGAUGAAGGCCUUCGGGUCGUAAAGCUCUGUCAGAGGGGAAGAAAUGCAGGUGGUGAACAACCAUUCUGUUUGACGGUACCCUCAAAGGAAGCACCGGCUAACUCCGUGCCAGCAGCCGCGGUAAUACGGAGGGUGCGAGCGUUGUUCGGAAUUAUUGGGCGUAAAGCGCGUGUAGGCGGUUUGUAAAGUCGGAGGGAAAAGCCCCGGGCUCAACCGGGGAAGUGCAUGGGAUACUGGCAGACUUGAGUACGGGAGAGGAGAGUGAAAUUCCCAGUGUAGGAGUGAAAUCCGUAGAUAUUGGGAGGACCACCGGUGGCGAAGGCGGCCCCCUGGACCGAUACUGACGCUGAGACGCGAAAGCGUGGGGAGCAAACAGGAUUAGAUCCCCCGGUAGU